rnacentral:tRNA from 1 species
GCCGGGGUGGCGAAACGGCAGACGCGGCGCACUUAAAAUGCGAUGCCCGUCAGGGCGUGCGGGUUCGAAUCCCGCCCCCGGUACCA